CAGUCGACGAGUUCUCGUUGAUGAUCGGUGCUUGCACCGAGAUUCAACAUGGAACGAGUGGCGGACGGGUGAGUAACACGUGGGUAACCUGCCCUUAAGUGGGGGAUAACAUUUGGAAACAGAUGCUAAUACCGCAUAGAUCCAAGAACCGCAUGGUUCUUGGCUGAAAGAUGGCGUAAGCUAUCGCUUUUGGAUGGACCCGCGGCGUAUUAGCUAGUUGGUGAGGUAAUGGCUCACCAAGGCGAUGAUACGUAGCCGAACUGAGAGGUUGAUCGGCCACAUUGGGACUGAGACACGGCCCAAACUCCUACGGGAGGCAGCAGUAGGGAAUCUUCCACAAUGGACGCAAGUCUGAUGGAGCAACGCCGCGUGAGUGAAGAAGGCUUUCGGGUCGUAAAACUCUGUUGUUGGAGAAGAAUGGUCGGCAGAGUAACUGUUGCCGGCGUGACGGUAUCCAACCAGAAAGCCACGGCUAACUACGUGCCAGCAGCCGCGGUAAUACGUAGGUGGCAAGCGUUAUCCGGAUUUAUUGGGCGUAAAGCGAGUGCAGGCGGUUUUUUAAGUCUGAUGUGAAAGCCCUCGGCUUAACCGAGGAAGCGCAUCGGAAACUGGGAAACUUGAGUGCAGAAGAGGACAGUGGAACUCCAUGUGUAGCGGUGAAAUGCGUAGAUAUAUGGAAGAACACCAGUGGCGAAGGCGGCUGUCUGGUCUGUAACUGACGCUGAGGCUCGAAAGCAUGGGUAGCGAACAGGAUUAGAUACCCUGGUAGUCCAUGCCGUAAACGAUGAAUGCUAGGUGUUGGAGGGUUUCCGCCCUUCAGUGCCGCAGCUAACGCAUUAAGCAUUC
rnacentral:rRNA from 1 species